GCUCAACCGAGGAAGUGCUUCGAAAACUGGUAAACUUGAGUGCAGAAGAGGAAAGUGGAACUCCAUGUGUAGCGGUGGAAUGCGUAGAUAUAUGGAAGAACACCAGUGGCGAAGGCGGCUUUCUGGUCUGUAACUGACGCUGAGAUUCGAAAGCAUGGGUAGCAAACAGGAUUAGAUACCCUGGUAGUCCAUGCCGUAAACGAUGAGUGCUAAGUGUUGGAGGGUUUCCGCCCUUCAGUGCUGCAGCUAACGCAUUAAGCACUCCGCCUGGGGAGUACGACCGCAAGGUUGAAACUCAAAGGAAUUGACGGGGGCCCGCACAUGCGGUGGAGCAUGUGGUUUAAUUCGAAGCAACGCGAAGAACCUUACCAGGUCUUGACAUACCAUGAAAAGCUUAGAGAUAAGUCUUUCCCUUCGGGGACAUGGAUACAGGUGGUGCAUGGUUGUCGUCAGCUCGUGUCGUGAGAUGUUGGGUUAAGUCCCGCAACGAGCGCAACCCUUAUUAUCAGUUGCCAGCAUUCAGUUGGGCACUCUGGUGAGACUGCCGGUGACAAACCGGAGGAAGGUGGGGACGACGUCAAAUCAUCAUGCCCCUUAUGACCUGGGCUACACACGUGCUACAAUGGUCGGUACAACG
rnacentral:rRNA from 1 species